GUGCGAUUGUAUUUUUUUUUUUGUUUUUGUUUUUUGUUGUGUUUUUUUUUUUUUGGGGGGGGGAUUUAUUUUGGUAGGCAUAUUAAACAUUAAUUUGUACAUCUGUUUUUAAGUUAUAUCUCAAUCUCCGUAUGUUUGGUUUCCUUGUAAAUGUUUUACACGAUGUAUCUUCUGGAAAAUACACCGUGCUUCAAAGACCGUGCAAUGUCUUGAGAGAAAGCGAAAAUCAGAGAGAGAAGGACAUUAAUUUAUUGUCACAUAUAAUAAGAUCUCAAAGGGAGUUGCAGAAUAACGGAUACUGGCGAAUGUAAAAAUUGAACAAAAAAGUUUGCAAAAUUAUAAAGAAUAACAACAGAAAAUAAAAUAAUAAUUUAAUACAACAGUGUAGACACAGACAAGAACCAUGUACAGAAUUAAGAAAUCAUUUAAUGAUAGAAGAAUUUUACAAAAUUGUUUAUUGAGGAUUUUACAGAAUAAGCGUUAUAUUUAAAGAUAAAGAACAUUUAGGUCCACACUUCAUAUGAACCCUUAAAAACUCGUUGGAUUAUCUCGUUGUGGCUGGUCAGUAAUAAAUAAAAAAGUCACUGGUCAAUUCAAAGGUUGUCGUAAGUGAUGCAAUAUAUUCUUAUUUUCCUGUUCCCCUUGUGUAACUUCCAGUUUUAUUGAAGUUUACAUCGAUCAAAGCCUUAGUUUAAUUUAGUUUCCUGUUAUUACUACCCCCCUUUUUUUGUCGCAUGUUGUGU
rnacentral:lncRNA from 1 species